GAUGAACGCUGGCGGCGUGCCUAAUACAUGCAAGUCGAGCGAACGGACGAGAAGCUUGCUUCUCUGAUGUUAGCGGCGGACGGGUGAGUAACACGUGGAUAACCUACCUAUAAGACUGGGAUAACUUCGGGAAACCGGAGCUAAUACCGGAUAAUAUUUUGAACCGCAUGGUUCAAAAGUGAAAGACGGUCUUGCUGUCUCUUAUAGAUGGAUCCGCGCUGCAUUAGCUAGUUGGUAAGGUAACGGCUUACCAAGGCAACGAUGCAUAGCCGACCUGAGAGGGUGAUCGGCCACACUGGAACUGAGACACGGUCCAGACUCCUACGGGAGGCAGCAGUAGGGAAUCUUCCGCAAUGGGCGAAAGCCUGACGGAGCAACGCCGCGUGAGUGAUGAAGGUCUUCGGAUCGUAAAACUCUGUUAUUAGGGAAGAACAUAUGUGUAAGUAACUGUGCACAUCUUGACGGUACCUAAUCAGAAAGCCACGGCUAGCUACGUG
rnacentral:rRNA from 1 species